CCAAACCCCACACAAAAAACGCUUCUCUCGAUCCCAUCUCGAUCUCAUCGAAAGAAGAGCUUCGUUGCCCCUGCCGACGUACGGGAGAGCUUCCUUGCCGCCGCCGACGUACGAUCUGCCGCGAUCUCGUUCGAUCUACCCGCUGCCGAUGUACGAGAUCGCCGACACCGAGAUACGGGAUCGCCGCCAACGUACGAUUUGCCGUCUCUCGCUGCCGCCGUUGUACGAUCUGCCGUCUCUCCCAGAGGAGGCGCCGCCGCGGACGUCCGGGAUCACCGCUGCCUACGUCCGGGAUCACCGCCGCCGACCUGCCAGAGGAGACGCCGCCUCCAAUCUCCUAGAGGAGCCGCCGCCGCCGCCACUCUCCGACGGGAGACGCCGUCGCCGGUCUCUGACGGGAGACGCCGUCGCCGCCGCCGCCGACCUUUGAGGGGAGACGCCGCCGCCACCUGCACUGAACCCCAGGGCAGGGUGCGACGAUCGUCGCAAGGAGUACUUGCCGGCCGUACACAGGUAUUCUAAACCUUACCAUCCUAUUCUCAUCAUUCACAAAUGUGUUCAGAUAGUUGUUGCUUGUGUCGUUCCUGUUACUAGAGGAGGGCUCCACUGUGGCCAUUCGCCACUCUGCCUGCAAGCUCGACGCCACAGUUUGACAGGGCCAAGGUGGUAGUAGACGAUGACGAAUAUGGCGCCCUGGCUGUCUCAGUUCAUGAGAUUCCCCUAUGGUGGCUGAAUUUGUAACACACCAGGCUGCUCCCCUCGUAUUACAAAUCAGAGCUAGCUUAUAUAUUCAUCCAUAGAUCAUGGCUGACUCCAAAGGCAACACUCCUCCAGUCCUCCUGUGCGUGAUGGCAAAGCUAUGCUACAUGAUAUUAUCACGUUAUCAUAUUGCUCACCAAGUCACUAGGCCAGCUUUUGCUGUACUUUUUCUUCAUUUUGUUCAGAUUUAUUUCAUGCCCCAAUGUUCUGUUAUGUGCAGCUAUGAGAUUUUAUUUGAAGAACCAUGGAAAGCAAUUUGAGACGAUGCAUAUAAAGCAUAUUCGAUUUAUUAAGUGUUUUCAAGUAUUCAAUUUAUUAAGAGUUCACUCAUAAUUGCCGACCGUACACAGGUAUUCUGAACCUUACCAUCCGAUUUUCAGAAUAAGAGUUGUCUGUAUAAUUCACGGUGGUUAAAACAGCAGCAUCUGUAGAAUUCCCCUUUGUCCAUGUUGUACCUACAAUUUACUACUAUAUUUGUAGUGCUACUUCAUUUGAAUUUUGUAACCAAAAGAAAUGCAGGCGAGCGAUUCAGGGUUAUUGUUCGAAGUGGCUAUAAUAUGUAGGGGUUAUUGUUCGAAGUGGCUAUAAUAUGUGGCUGCAAACUUGCCGAGGCCAGCAUAAGGAGUGAUGGAGUUAUCUUCUACUUUUAUUUGUUCAUGUUGUCUCAACAAACUGACUUGUGUUUAUGGCGACUUUUUUAUGUGUCCAUGGAUCAGAGAGGAUGGAUGAUGCAGUGGCCACAUCAAGCGCCCUGUGCUCGACCACAAUGGAAAUGCAGUUUCUCAGAGCUAGCAGGAAGGAGGCUGGUGGCUUCCCGUUGUAGUAAGAGACAACACACCAGAUCCGUUGAUGAAGAAAACAACACAUUUCACGAUAUGAUGAUUGGUACUUCCAGUUUUGUUGUACUCUCUCAUUUGCCUUUGUGGGAACGACACUGCUCUAUUGCUUGCUUAUUUAAGAUCAUGCAUAUAUGCCGCAUGUCAGCCUCAUGGGGAUCAAGCAGAUGAGGAGAAGGAAGCAGCAAGGAAGAAGCAAUUUCACAACUCUGGGAAGAGCAUCUGCUGGAGGGCGUCACCUGCGGCAUCACCUGCAUCGACCUCUCGCUGAUUACCAUCCCAAGGAUGCGCGACCGACUGGCGAAGCAGGGCACCAGUGAUAAGUUCACCGAUUUGGUCGACUCACCGUUCCCUGACUCUGUCCACGCAAUGCCGCUCGUUGUUGUUAGGUGCUUCCACCUUCCAAACUAAAAGGUCUGCAGCCUUAGAUGAACAACUACAGCUUUAUUUGGCCGAGGAUGAUUUGAUUGUGCAAAAGUCUCGAAAAAAUUCAAGACAUACGUAAGAUGCACAUGGACCACGAGUGUUUCAACAUGGCAGGGCGCGUAGUGGCAUGCGACAAGCAACAUAUGUUGAAAGAGACCAUUGAUCACUACUUGGACCUAAUUUUUUCCGGAAUCCAAAGCGAUGCAUUAAGUGGGAUAUUUUUCUUUUAAUUUAUGCACUCAUGAAAUGGGAAAGAACUAAAUCAACCAAUUUGCAGGGAUGGUUGCGAGCUAAGGAAGUGAUUUUUGGUGCACCUUCUCGUCUGCUCCCGCGAGCGGCGAAGCGAACCCUAGCGCGCCUCCUCUAGCCUCCUCCCCCCUCUCUUGCCGGCGUCGGUGGCGGCGAGGCAUCUUCCCCUUCCUCAUGGUGGGCCGACGCGGGACGGCGACUCGAAGCGGAGGCGCGCAGUUCUACAGGACGGUGCGGCGUUGCGGCGGCCGGGGCGGCACGAUGGUGGCGUCCUGGGUUGGCGGCGCGGGCGGCUGCUCAUCAGGGGCGUGGUGGGGCGUGCCUACGCGGGUGGCGGCUGUGGACGUCCUGGCCAGAUCUAGAUCGGGCGGGUGCUCUGGCCAGCAGCCAGCACGCGGCACGGGCUGAGGCGGCAAGGGCGCAUGCAUGCCUCUCACUUAUAUUAUGCGACAGUUGUGGAUGGGGGUAGGGGUUAGUCUGUUUAGUUAUGUCUGAGCGGAAUAAUUUUCCUACUCAAGAAAACGU